CGCGGCCUAUCAGCUUGUUGGUGAGGUAAUGGCUCACCAAGGCGACGACGGGUAGCCGGCCUGAGAGGGCGACCGGCCAUACUGGGACUGAGACACGGCCCAGACUCAUACGGGAGGCAGCAGUGGGGAAUAUUGCACAAUGGGCGAAAGCCUGAUGCAGCGACGCCGCGUGAGGGAUGACGGCCUUCGGGUUGUAAACCUCUUUCAGCAGGGAAGAAGCGAAAGUGACGGUACCUGCAGAAGAAGCGCCGGCUAACUACGUGCCAGCAGCCGCGGUAAUACGUAGGGCGCAAGCGUUGUCCGGUAUUAUUGGGCGUAAAGAGCUCGUAGGCGGCUUGUCACGUCGGUUGAGAAAGCCCGGGGCUUUAACCCCGGGUCUGCAGUCGAUACGGGCAGGCUAGAGUUCGGUAGGGGAGAUCGGAAUUCCUGGUGUAGCGGUGAAAUGCGCAGAUAUCAGAAAGGAACACCGGUGGCGAAGGCGGAUCUCUGGGGCCGAUACUGACGCUGAGGAGCGGAAGGGGGGGGGAGCGAACAGAAUAGAUACCUGGGUAGUCCACGCCGUAACGGUGGGCACUAGGUGUGCCAACAUUCCACGUUGUCCGGGCCGCAGCUAACGC
rnacentral:rRNA from 1 species